GACGAACGCUGGCGGCGUGCUUAACACAUGCAAGUCGAACGGAAAGGCCCUGCUUUUGUGGGGUGCUCGAGUGGCGAACGGGUGAGUAACACGUGAGUAACCUGCCCUUGACUUUGGGAUAACUUCAGGAAACUGGGGCUAAUACCGGAUAGGAGCUCCUGCUGCAUGGUGGGGGUUGGAAAGUUUCGGCGGUUGGGGAUGGACUCGCGGCUUAUCAGCUUGUUGGUGGGGUAGUGGCUUACCAAGGCUUUGACGGGUAGCCGGCCUGAGAGGGUGACCGGCCACAUGGGGACUGAGAUACGGCCCAGACUCCUACGGGAGGCAGCAGUGGGGAAUAUUGCACAAUGGGCGGAAGCCUGAUGCAGCAACGCCGCGUGCGGGAUGACGGCCUUCGGGUUGUAAACCGCUUUCGCCUGUGACGAAGCGUGAGUGACGGUAAUGGGGAAAGAAGCACCGGCUAACUACGU
rnacentral:rRNA from 1 species